rnacentral:rRNA from 1 species
AACGCUGGCGGCAGGCUUAACACAUGCAAGUCGAGCGGGCGUAGCAAUACGUCAGCGGCAGACGGGUGAGUAACGCGUGGGAACGUACCUUUUGGUUCGGAACAACACAGGGAAACUUGUGCUAAUACCGGAUAAGCCCUUACGGGGAAAGAUUUAUCGCCGAAAGAUCGGCCCGCGUCUGAUUAGCUAGUUGGUAGGGUAAUGGCCUACCAAGGCGACGAUCAGUAGCUGGUCUGAGAGGAUGAUCAGCCACAUUGGGACUGAGACACGGCCCAAACUCCUACGGGAGGCAGCAGUGGGGAAUAUUGGACAAUGGGGGCAACCCUGAUCCAGCCAUGCCGCGUGAGUGAUGAAGGCCCUAGGGUUGUAAAGCUCUUUUGUGCGGGAAGAUAAUGACGGUACCGCAAGAAUAAGCCCCGGCUAACUUCGUGCCAGCAGCCGCGGUAAUACNAAGGGGGCUAGCGUUGCUCGGAAUCACUGGGCGUAAAGGGUGCGUAGGCGGGUCUUUAAGUCAGGGGUGAAAUCCUGGAGCUCAACUCCNGAACUGCCUUUGAUACUGAAGAUCUUGAGUUCGGGAGAGGUGAGUGGAACUGCNAGU